rnacentral:lncRNA from 1 species
GCCUGUGUAUGAUCUUCAGCGAGAGGUCUAAGAACUUGGAGUCAUUACUCUGCACAUCAUGCUGUUACUGUACUCAGUUCGAGUCUCACGCGUGUGUAAGAAAGUGGUGUUGUGGCUGUUUUUGUGAGCCUCUGGCUUCCUCCAGCCUAUGAAGUAAUCCUGGAGAAGGUAAAACUCCCCGAAAACCCUGGCCUUGGUGCAUCAUGUUCCCUUCUGAUCAGUCAGGCCACAGUCUUAUUUCCCACGGUCACCUAACCUGUGUGUCCAGAAGAAAAAAGAACUACCACCUUGGCACCGUGAUGAGGGACUGAAAAAAGCCUGCUGCCCUGCUAGUGACUGGCUGCUUCCUGUCACCUUCCAUCUCCUAGGAGAGCCAUGAAAGAUAUUGCUGUUCUGACUGAGGUGCUGGGCAAGUUGAGCUCUCUGGCCCACAUGGCUUCUGAAGCUAAGAACUUGGGGACAAUGCUUUCUGGAAGCAUUUCUUGGCCAUGCUGGACUGUAACCUUGUUCCUGGUGUGAGCAUUCUUGGAUGCAUCAGGCAAAAGCCCUUGAUUCUGCCAGAAAGAUGAGCAGUAACAGCAAUAAGAGAGCUCCAACAACUGCGACACAAAGGUUGAAACAGGACUACCUUCGAAUUAAGAAAGACCCAGUGCCUUACAUCUGUGCGGAGCCCCUCCCUUCAAAUAUUCUUGAAUGGCAUUAUGUUGUCCGAGGCCCUGAGAUGACUCCUUAUGAAGGUGGCUAUUAUCAUGGAAAACUAAUUUUUCCCAGAGAAUUUCCAUUUAAGCCUCCUAGUAUUUACAUGAUAACCCCCAAUGGAAGAUUUAAGUGCAACACAAGGCUGUGUCUCUCCAUCACAGAUUUCCAUCCAGAUACAUGGAAUCCAGCGUGGUCCGUCUCCACCAUUCUAACAGGGCUCCUGAGCUUUAUGGUGGAGAAAGGCCCCACCCUGGGGAGCAUAGAGACAUCGGACUUCACGGUGAGAAAAAACAGCUGGCAGCACAGAGUCUAGUGUUUAAUUUAAAAGAUAAAGUCUUCUGUGAAUUAUUUCCUGAAGUUGUGGAGGAAAUUAAACAGAAACAGAAAGCACAAGAUGAACUAAGUAACAGGCCCCAGAAUCUUCCUUUGCCAGACGUGGUUCCUGAUGGGGAGAUGCACCGUGGCCAGAAUGGGAUCCAGCUCCUCAAUGGGCAUGCACCUGCUGCUGGCCCAAACCUUGCUGGGCUCCCACAGGCCAACAGGCAUCAUGGACUCCUGGGCGGCGCUUUGGCGAACUUGUUUGUUAUAGUUGGGUUUGCGGCCUUUGCCUACACGGUCAAAUACGUGCUGAGAAGCAUAGCACAGGAGUGAGGUUCACAAGCCACAACCUGCAGUUGCUGCUGAGGGACACAGGGGCCAGAGCUUGAUGCAGGCGAGACGGACAUGCUGCUGAGCACAGGGUGGCCUGCCGGACUCCUGGGCUUCACUUUUUAAAAACCUUAAACAGAAAGCAAAAACCAAAAUGUGAUCUGGAGGAGAUUGGAGGUUGACAUGGACAGUGCCACUCACGCUUUGGUUUUACUGCUUAUCUCCUGUGUUGUCUUUUGAACCUGUUUAGUAAACCUGUU